GGCAAGGUGGCCGAGCGGUCUAAGGCGCCACGUUAAGGAUUAAUCCUUAAUUAACUCCUCCCUUCUGGAGGGAGAAGAUUCCCCGUGGUCCGAAAGGGCGUGAGUUCGAAUCUCACCCUUGUCA